UCAAUUCAAACAACUGAAAGUCACUUGGCCCAAGAAAAUGGAGAAGCGAUGAUUUAUUAUGAAGAGUUUAAUCCAACAUCAGAAAGCAUAGCAGAAACACUGCCAGAAGGACCACCAGGAGAAAGUGACAUCAAAUACUAUUUUGAUGAGCUGAAAGAAAACCUGAAGACAGAGAACACCAAUUUUCUGAUGACUGUCUGUGCAGCGAUUGCCAUCAUCACUAUCGCGUUCACUGGCAUAGCUCUGGGCAUUUUUCUGCUUUAUAGACGAUAUAGAUCAAAGUCUGCUUUUUACAAGGGUUCAAAUGACAUCGAUAUUGAAGCUGGGCACCCUGAAACACCUGAACCUGCAGGUGAAUAGUCUGGCGGGAGAGAUGUGCCAGUCACAGAAGUGCGCGGGAAUACUUUCACCUUUCCUGAGCCCUUCUGACACCUUGGGAAUCUUUAGGCUGGAAUUUCACUACUCUGUGUUUCUCCCUGCCACUCUGCUUGGGCCUCCUGCAGUCAUCUAGCCUCCUGCUCUCCAUCGCUGGGUGAUCCCAGCUGCUGUUUGUGGAGGCUACUGCACAUUAUACAUCCCUGUGCAACAUUGAUCCUCUCCUGGACCUACUGGGAGAUACAAAGAGAUAUCCUACACUUCUCUGCUGUUACCUCUGCAAUCUUGAGUUCCAGUUCCAGACAACUCUCUGGACUGUCACGUGUGCCAUCAUACAGCAACAUCACCAGGAAUCCAUUCUUCCUAAUGUGGUGAACUGAGAAUGCGGAGUCUACAGCAGAACAUCAUUUGUGAAAGGGACUAUAAACAGACUUUCUAACAACCAUUUGAAAAGGACAAGGUGUAAGAUAUGAGGUCUUCCUUUGUCUCAGCCUUUCACAAAAACAAAAUAAAUAACAAUGG